rnacentral:misc_RNA from 1 species
AGCCUCCAGAUUCAACACAAGGAAGAGAAAGAGUUGAGGGUCUCACAGGCAGCUAGUCUAAACAGGCACUGGAAAAUAUACAGCAGUUGGAGCAGCAAGUUUCCAGUCUGCAUAAGCAGCUCCUGAAAAGCCAGCAAGAGGUAGCAGAGACUUGCAAGGAGCUGACUCAAGUGAGGGAAAGACAAGCAGAAUGGGAAGAAGAGUAUCUCAGGCUGAAGAAAGAGAUGCAACUGCAGCAGAAGCAGCUUACAAAAUUGGACUCCCCCAGAAGUCCAUCCCUGGAAGGAGAGAAACAACUUGCAGUAGAAGCUACUAACCGAUUAGUUGCAGAAAACAAGGAACUUAAAGAUCGCGUUGAUGAAUUGAUGGUGCAAAUUGAGGAAAUGCAGCGCCAAAGUCUAGCAGCAAGUUUACGCCAUGGAAGCAGUGUUUCAGCGAGAAGAAAUUCCUUAGCAUCACGUAUACCUGUUCGAACACAAACUUCAUCCCUGUCCUCAGAUGCUUCAGAAAUGGAUGAUGAUGAACUUUUAAGUUCUUCUGAAGGAUUCUACUUUAACCGCCGCAGUCUCCUGGCAACACCUGAAGAAUCUGACAGCUCCCCAAGUCUCAGCAGUGAAUUAAAACAUCUUCAUCGACAGAGGCGAGGAGAGCUCCGAGAAAGAGAGAGAAAGGAGGUAGAACAUGCCUACCGUGUGGAGAUUGCAGACUUAGAAGAUAAGCAGAGAGAAGAGAAAGAACAGAUAAUAAAAGCCUUUGAAAGGGAGAAGACUAGGAUGACAGAAGACUUUCAGGCAGUCAUGAAUCAGCGUCUGGCAGAGCAGCAGAAAGAGCUGCAGAAUAUUUUUGCUCUUGAAAAGCAGGACCUGCUGCAGCAGUAUGAGUCCCGCAAGAACUACAUGGAGUUGCAGCAUCAGCAGAAGAUUCAGCAAGUUCUAGCCGGCAGGGCAAGAGAAGAAAUUCAAGACAAGGAAAAGUUUCCCCGGAACCAGAUGAAGGAAAUUUCAGACUUGCACCGUCAUCUUUCCCAGAAUGAGUCCAUCAUACAAGAUCUAAAAAAAGAGAAUGCUGCCCUAAUAGCAAAAUUGUUGGAUGUUGAAAACAAACUGUCAUCUUGUCUUAACAAAGAACUUGUGUGGCAGAAAGAGUGUCAACAAAAGUUGCAAGAACAGCAGAGUGCCUUUGAGACCAAACUUCAAUCUGAGCUGAAGAGAGUUUUUGAUCAGGGAGAGUCAGCUCUAGAAGGAAAGUUAAAGGAUGACUUCUAUCAACUUGUGCAGAAGCGAAAGGACACAUUGCAUGAACAUCAGCAGCCUAACACAGAAAGUGGGUCAGCUUCUGAAAACUCUUUUGACAGAGAAGCACUUUAUUCUGCUUUUGAGCAGGAGAAGGUGACUCUUGAAAGUCACUAUGAAUCGAAGAUCCUCAACCUUGAGCAGGAGUUGGCAAACCUCAGAGAAGCUAGUAUCACAGAGCAGAAUGUCACUCACAGUCUGCAGACAUGGAGACAAGUGACGAUGAUGGCGACCAGUACGGAGAUGACUGCAGGCGAAAAGCAGAGGAUGCAGGGUGCGGAGGAAGUGAAGGUGCAGGCCGCUCACCUGAGAGAGCUGGAGUCUUUUUCAGGUCUGCAGAAGCAGAGAAGCAGAGACAGGGGGAGCGAACUGCCUGGGAGGAGGAGAAGCGGGAAAUGCAGCUGCAGUUGAGAUCCACCCAGGACUUGCAUCGCAACUUGGUCCUACAACAUAAACAAUUGUGUCGGUCCAGCACGAAGCUGGCGGAGAUUGCCAAGGACUUGUAUGUGCGGAAUGUUGAACUCACCUGCGAACUGCAGCAGACGGAGAGAAGGCUGCGGACUGCACAGCGACAGUGUCGCAAACUGCAGGAAACAUGUCAGA